UUAAUAGAAAAUGUCAUUUGAAAUGGCGUUUCUUCGCUUCACGUCAUCUCCUCCUCCCAUCCCCCGUGGAAUCAAAGGACAAAAAAAAAGAAAAGUCGUCAUUUCAAAUGGUGUUUUUGAAAGCGCCAUUUGAAAUGACGUUUUCAAAGAUGCCAUAAUAAAUGGCGUUUUCUUGGUUACACCCCUCUCCAUUCAAAAAAAUCCAUCCAAUGGUCAAAAAAAAAGAGCAAAAAAUCAAUCCAUACCAUCUCCGUACCGAUGCUGUACCGACCUAUACCGAUCUAUUCUGCAUCGCAUCGAGCGGUUGGUGCCCACACUGUACUGUACCGAAUCGGUAUGGUCCGGUUCAUAUCAUUUAUCGAAAAAUCGAUCUGAACUGUGUCGGUUCCCCACCGGUACCUUAACCCCCCUUAUUUGGAUCUUGCAUUCAUUUCUAUUUCGAUGGAUUGAUCGCAUCUUUGUCCUUGCAUUUAUUUCUAUUUCGAUGGAUUGAAGUGUAUGAUCGAAUCUUAUAUCUCGCUUGCUAUGACAGGAUACUAAAACAACCGACAGGAUACUGCAAGGAAUCUCCACCUAAUAAAGUGAAGAUGCGCAUCCCAAGCAACUCCUGCUUCCUCCAUGCUUAAAUGCACCAUCCCCAGAAUCUGCACCAGGAUCCAACUUGCCCGACAAAUCAUACCACUUGGUAGUAUCAGGAUAGAAUCCAUCCAGCCAACGUUUGCAAUGCUGGUACUGCACCCUGUACCGUUUGUCAGUCGGUACGGUACCGUAUUGUAUCAUACUAGGCCCGUACCGACAAAUAAAAAAUAAAAAAAAUCCAUCCAAUGGCCAAAAAACAUAGAAAACCAAUCCGUACCGACCCCGUAUCGAUCUGUACCGACUCGUACCGAUGUCAUACCGAUCUGUACCGGCCCAUACCACAUCGUACGUAGCGGUCCGUGCCCGUACCAAACCGAAUCGGUACAGUCCGGUUCAUCUCAUUUGUCGAAAAAUCGAUCUGAAUCGUGCUGGUUGUCCAUCGGUACGGUAUGGGGUGUACCGAUCGGUUCGGGCCGGUACGGAAUACCAUCCAUCCAGCUGUAUCCCUAGUAGAUUUGGAUCCGGCACAAUCGUCCCAUCAUCCCUUAUCAACUUGGAAUCCUCAUCCUCACCAUGAUUCAGAAUGCUUUUUUCGUUGAAAUCAUCGCAGUCCAUCAUCCGGUUGUCAGGCUUCAAGCCUUCGUCGAAAUAAGCUCUCACCAUUUGCUUCGAGAUACACGUAAAAUUAUAUCAUACCCUCAAUGAAAGAAGAGGAGAGAGCAAACGAAAGCAAAUGUACAGACGAAGAGGUGUGAAUAUCAGAUGCCAUUCUAUUGCAGUCCUCCUUCAUAAACAACUGACUUGUCUGAUUUAGCUUAUUUUUAGCUAUUUUAAGAGAUAUAAUUAAAUUACUCCAUAUACUAUUAUUAUUUGCAUUAUAAUUUUUAUGGUCGUUUUAGCAUAAUUUUUUCUCUCCUAAUCUUCUGAGACACAUGAGACUACGUGUAUCCAUGUCCAUAAAGCAUAACAUCCGAUCACUUGAAAUUAAACUAAUCUCUGAUAAAAAUAAUAAUUAAUAAUAUAAAAUAGAAUAAAAAUAUCAGGUGUACAAAAAAUAUUACAAUAAAAGUUUCAAAAAUACUAAGUACAAAUUUAAAAAAUAGUAAGUCCCACGAGGACGUCGUGGUGGCCGUGGUCGCUU
rnacentral:lncRNA from 1 species